rnacentral:rRNA from 1 species
GACGAACGCUGGCGGCGUGCUUAACACAUGCGAGUCGAACGGAAAGGCCCUGCUUUUGUGGGGUGCUCGAGUGGCGAACGGGUGAGUAACACGUGAGUAACCUGCCCUUGACUUUGGGAUAACUUCAGGAAACUGGGGCUAAUACCGGAUAGGAGCUCCUGCUGCAUGGGGGGGGUUGGAAAGUUUCGGCGGUGGGGGAUGGACUCGCGGCUUAUCAGCUUGUUGGUGGGGUAGUGGCUUACCAAGGCUUUGACGGGUAGCCGGCCUGAGAGGGUGACCGGCCACAUUGGGACUGAGAUACGGCCCAGACUCCUACGGGAGGCAGCAGUGGGGAAUAUUGCACAAUGGGCGGAAGCCUGAUGCAGCAACGCCGCGUGCGGGAUGACGGCCUUCGGGUUGUAAACCGCUUUCGCCUGUGACGAAGCGUGAGUGACGGUAAUGGGUAAAGAAGCACCGGCUAACUACGUG